rnacentral:piRNA from 1 species
UUGCCAGAAGCAGGUGCUAAGAUGGACUGC